AUGACAUUUUAUCGUGAACUAAGUGAGUAUUAAUCAAUCCAAUAACUGUUCUGAAAAAGAAUCCAGUUGUGCCAAUGGUGAUGCACACGGAGACACUGAGGUUAAUAAAUGUGACCUUGAUGCAAAUGAUCGCCAGAACAUUCAAAACUUUGUUGCUGAUGUGCCAUACCUAGGGUCAUCUGUAGCAUCUGAGACUAACUUUGACAGUCUAGGAAUCAAAUUGCCCACAACAAACUGUAAUACUGAGCCAAGCAUGGAUCAUUCUCCCAUGAUAGCUCCCUCCAAAGUCCCUGUCAGCAUUCAGAAAAAUCAAGAAGCCAGGCCAGAUGAGUGCCUACUGAACCGUGGAAAUCUACAUUCAGUGGAGCCCGGUGAUCUUACAACACAGAGAGAUGGGACUCCAGACACAAAGAAUACUGUUGUGCCUGAGGGCCGCACUCCAGUGGGUGUUGAAUGUAGCACUACAGAAAAGAAGAGGAGGCCGUCCAUGUGCUCACCUCAGCAUUGGGAGGAAUUAAUCACAGAGCAUGGAGAACUUGAAGUUCAGCAGUCUGACAAAUCCUCUUCACGAGGCUUUAGCGCACCAACAACCAAUAUAACGGUAACCACUAUUCACUCCCUGGUUAAUCCUGCCCCUACCACCACUGCAGCCAUAGCAACAGCCAUCCCAGCAUUAAGCAAGGGGGAGGUGGGGGCGAGAGGUGGAUAUUUGCUGCCUCUGGUGAACUCAGAGUUGCUAUCAGAGCCGGCAAGAGUUGACGACAAGGACAAGGUGGCCGCUGACGACGGGUCUCUUGAUGUGGGCGAGGAGGAGGAGGAUGAGUUUGGGACUUUCAUGCAGGCAGGUGGAGAGCAGCUGUGGACGGACGGAUUCAGUGAGGUCCAACAUUUGGCUGAGGAUUGCAACUGUGAGGAACACACAAGUUCUGCUGAUGCAAAUGAACCCGCAUCCUGGGCAUCUGAUUGGACUGCAGUUCAGUCAUUCCAGCAGUCAGAGAGCACAUGGACCGCCUUCAGCCGGGAGACUGUGGAGCAGAAGAUAGUGCCUGGUGGCCAGUGGUGGACUUCUACCGAAAAGCCAAACCUUCCACUCUCUCCUCUCCAUAAUGUGUCAAAUGUGUUUCUAGAGGCCUUUCCCUCUGAGAAGUCCCCCUGUGAAGAUCCUGAAUACAUUCCUACACUAAAGCAGUUUCUGCAAGGACCAGCUGAAAACGGCAAUACAGGGGAGCACAAGGAGCAGAGCUUACUUGAUGGCCUCCAGGAUCUAGACCGGAUGAUUGGUGUGAAAUAUAAGAGGGCGGAGUCUCUUUCCCGUAAAGUUCUCCUUCAGUCACUGCAUUUGGAACGUCCCAGUUCUGAAUGCGUGACCGUUCGUCUGAAGACCAGUGCCAGAUUUUCUCCAAAUCUCCCAACAUCCAACCAGCAGUUAGCUGCAAAUGCUAAGAGAAGACUGUCAUAUGACUUCAACAGAAAUAUUAUGACUUAGUCUCUAUAUCUGCCGAAACAUCUUUGACCUAUGCUUCCUUGAAAACAGGAAAUACAGGGCAGAGGAAAAAUACAUGCUGAAAAACUGAAUAACUGAGUUUCCCUGGAUUGACUUCUAUUCAAGGUUUAUUUAAAGUGUAUUUCUUCUUUCAGUGUCUGUUCUCACUCAGUGUCUGGUAGAUUCUGUUUCUCAUUCAGCUGUGUAUCAAGACACACAAGACCUGUUUAGCCAAAUAUAUGUUUUUCAGUAUUUCAGAAUAUUGGGAUUAAAUUAGGACAAAUAUACUAAAAUUUCAAGUUAAAAAACCCUUUGCCAAAUUGUCUAGUCCAGGUAUAAGGAAUGAAUCUGGUUAUUGGACUGAUUUUGAUAUAACUGAUAUAAUCAGAUAAAAAUAAGUCAAUAUGCAUUUGUGUAUUACUUUCAAUAAUUGCUAUGUUAGUACUAACAUUUGUUAGAAUAAGAUAAUUUUUCUGGAACCAUAGCAAACCAGUUAGUGCACGUUCUCACAGGGAUGUAGAUGCAAAUCUAGGCCUGUCACGUCCUGAUCCACGUCCCAAACUUUCCUUCCUACUGUCUCACAUGAUGUAAAAUUACAUUUUAAAAAAUUAGAUUUUAGGGGGGGAUUAGGAUUCAUUUUUGCUCCCCGCAAGUUCUCCUUUGCCUGAAAACUGUCAAAGCACAUUUCCACAAAAUGUAUUUUCAUACACCACCUCACAGAGAAAUCCAUUUUCUUGUUUCCAUGUCUUUUUCCCCUGUGCUUGAAGUACUAAAUAUAACACUGUAGUGUACCAUUUUUAACCUCUGAUGAAUAGAGACCAUAUUUUCAGAAGUGUUUUAAAAUGAAUGUUAACAUUUUAAAUUGAACCUGCAAGCUUGUUUGUUGAUUGAUGUAAUUAAAACAUCUUUGAAGGACUGAAUGAAGUGGAUAACUGAGAGAUCAACCAUUUAAUGUUUCAUAACUGAGCAGAUGUGCUAAACGCCUAUGACUUAUGAACACAAAAUAUCUUUAGGCACAUUUCAGUUAUGUGCACUAGGGGCAUUUCCUCUGAGGAGGCAAGGGAGGCAGUGCCUUCUCAAAAUACUGGAUGAG
rnacentral:lncRNA from 1 species